UAUUUAUUUAUUUUUGGGUGUUUCGUGCUUCAUGCUAUUUAGAUCCCUAUUCUCCUCCUUUUUUUGUCUUAGUUCUUGUUGAUUGGUUAGUUCUUAGUUCUUGUUUAAGGGUAUGUACCGUAGAGGGGCCUUCUGACCCUUUUUAGUGGGUUUCAUUGUUUUCCUCCAAAUGAACAAGUCUAAAACCAUUUAUUAAAUUAAGAAAAUGCAAAUUUUCUUGUGAUAGCCCUUGACAAUAUUAAUGUAUGAGUAAUUUAGUUACUAACAUUAGAUUUGAAAAUGCUUUAUGGGGUUAAAAGUAAUGAUACCUGGAAAAUUGUGCCCUUGCACCAUGUUUAUCAUGUGUGCAUUACUACAUACUUGCGAUGGUCAAAAAAAUAUAAAUGUGGGUGUUGGACAUCUGUAUGGAUUGAUGUUUAUUGUUACUAUAAAUAAGGUAUUGCCAACAAUUGCCCAGGAGUCUUUGGUUAAGAAUGCAUCAAAUGGUUGUACAUUUCUUACCUACACACUUCUACAUGGAAUGCACAAUCAUUUUAAAGCUGGUUAAUAAUUGUGUGGGCAUUUUCCAUAUAAAUAAAUAUUCUCUCACACUAUCCUUGAGAAUUUGUCCACUUUGAAGAUGAACAAUCUUACUUGGGAGUAAUUAUUUAGUGUCCUAGACCAUUAUGUCACUUUUGAUUCCAAAUAAUUUAUGAUUUGCCGCAUAGAAAAAGGUGAGGCUUGAGGUCCUACUUUUUUACCUUCUCAAGGAGUUGGGUCCCGACAAAGUGGGGCUUGAGGUUCCAUGUUGUUAGGAUCCGCCUUCUCAGGAAGGUGGAAAGGUGGGAUCUCGAGUCUCACUUUUUUGUAUGCGUCUGAUAAUGAGUGGUUGGGACCAAAGCUGACAUGGUAGCUUUGGAUCAUUGAAUACUUUUUCCUUCAUUGUGUACUAUUAUUCUUUUGUGAUAUAUUGUUUAUUAUUUAAAAGGUUAGGACCGUUUAAUUAACAUUAUAACAAAGGGUUUUGGAGAAAUUAAUGAAAAAUACUCCUUUAUUUUAAUGUGGACAAAAACUUUGGGACAUCCAAAUAAGGAAAUUUGGAUAAUUUUCUCAGUAAACAUUAGUGAGAAUCCAUAUUUUCAUUUUUAGAUGUUUUAAAAAAAUGUCUAUAUUGAGAAGUGAGUAGUUAUUGCUCAUUUUUUGCCAUACUCUUUUUACAAAUCCUAUAAACUUGUAUGGUCAUAAACAAGCACUUGACGCGUGUUUAAGCAAGUCUAUUGAAGUCAGUGUUCCUCAUUCUCUUUUCUCCUCUUUGACUCAUCUUCUUUCCUAUGCUUUCUCUUGUUGUUGCAUCACCUCACCGAUCACAACAACAAAAGAGGCAUGGGACAGAUGAUGAAACAGAGAGGGUAAUAAAGGAUCUUGGUUGUCAAUGUCAUGGAGAAUGCUUGUGUGAGUGACUUGAAAAUUCUUGACAUAAUUCAAUCCAUAAGUUAAUGUUGUGGACAAUAUCCUUGGGGGAAGGAAUACAAUUUUUAAGUGUUAAGUAAUGGUCAUAUUUACUUUUUAGUUGAGUAGACUGUACAACCAUUUUUUACCUACCCAUUUCUGCAAGGAAUGCACAACCAUUUUAAAGCUAGUUAGCACUAGUUAGCGUUUGCCAUAUAAAUAAAUAUACUCACACUAUCCUUACAAAUUUGUUCAUUUUGAAGAUGUACAAUUUUACAUCUGAGUAAUUAUUUGGUGGUCUUGGACCAUCACAUCAACUUUGAUCUCAAAUCUUUUGUGGUCAGUCACAUAGGAAAAAGUGGGAUUAAAGGUCUUACCUUGUUAGGAGCCACCUCCCUGGAAAGGUGGAAAUGUUGGACUUUUGGUCUUACCUUUUUUUAUGUGGCCGAUCAUGAGUAAUUGAGACCAAAGCUAACGCGGUGGUCUUGAACCACUGGAUAUUUUUCCAUUCGGAAGUGGCAUUGAAGUGGAGGUGAACGAAUUGAGUCUUGGAUUUGUACCUUAGUAAUAAGGCAUUCUAUUGUUUAAGUCAUGAAUGCAAUGUUAUGGAACGUACAUAUUAUAGUUUUGUGAAGAAGAUUGGAAAAGUUAAAAGACAUUCACUUGCUUGAUAUCUGUUGGAGUCAAGAGAGUCGACACCAGUACAAAUACUUUUUAAAUGGCUCUUGAGCUUUGAUCGGAGGAUGCAUUGCAUGGUCAUUAUUUUGGAGUUGCAAAACCUAUAAUUCCUUUAAUUAUGGGUGAAAAUAACAGUUUGUCCUUUGUUUACUCAUUGAUACUCGUGCCAGUAUUCAUGGCGACUAUCCUUGAGAAUUUGUUCACUUUGAAAAUAUGUACAAUUUAAUUGGGAGUAAUUAUUCGGUUUUUUUGGAUCAUCACGGCACAUUUGGUCUCAAACUGUUCAUGGUCAUUUACAUAGUAAAAAAUGGGAUCCAAGUUCCAUCAUUUCACCUUUUCGAGGAGUUGAGUCCUGAUAAAGUGGGGCUCAUGGUUUUGUUUUGUCGGGACUCACCUCCUCAAGAAAGUGGAAAGGUGGGACAUUAGACCCCACUUUUUCUUUGUAGCCCGAUCUAGUUGGAACCAAAAUUGACGUGGUGGUCCUAAACCAUUGAAUAUUUCUCCCUUAGUAGCAUUAAAGGCAUUCAUUUAUACUUUAUAGUAUACUAUUCUGGCAUGUAUGUUUGACUAAAUAAAAAUGAAGAAACUCGCAAUUAAAUUCAAUGAAAAAUAUUCAUUUACUAUUUUAAUGUGGACAAUGAUUUUGGGACAUUGAAAUAAGGAAAUUUGGUCUACUUUUUCACUACAUGAUUCAAAAUUUAUAUUUUCAUUUUUAGAUGUUCUAAAAAUAUAUAUGUUAAAAAGUGAGUAGUUAUUGCUCAUUUUUUUACCAUACCCUUUUUUCAUGCAAUUAGUUGCGACUUGACCCCCCCAAAAAGAAAAAGGAUCAAUCGUUUGAUGGGGAAAAUGACAUCUUACAACGCAGUAAAUGCAUGGGAAUGCAUUUUAACGAACAUUCUUAAAUUAUUGUGCAUUUUCAAAGUGAACAAUGUUUUGUUGUUGGAGGGACCAAUGAUUUAGUUGUAACAUUUGGUUUUUGAAAAAAAUACUUGUGUUUGGACUUUUAGACAUCGUGUAAAUUUGUACAACCGUAGAUAUACAUUUACAACAUGCUUGUCUAGAAGUGCAUCUAUUAAGGUUGGUGUUCGUAGGGAUUUGGAUCACAUCUAUGUUCGUUAUGUGAUAGCACUUCGAUUAACAAAAUAAAAUAGACAUAUCACUUGAGCAAUAAAUCUUGGGUAUUGUGAAAGGAGUUUGAGUUUGCAAAUGACCACUUUAAUCAUAGUAUACAACCAUUUAUUAAAUUAAGAAAAUGCAAAAUUUCUUGUUAGGACCCUUGACAAUAUUUUUGUAUUGGUUUCUAAGAUAAGAUUUGAUAAUUUUGUAUGGUGUUAAAAGUUGUGAUGGGGAAAAUGGUGUCCUUGCACCAUGUUUAUCACAUGUGCAUCACUACAUUCUUGAUAUGGUCGAAGUUUAAACGUGAGUGUUGGACAUUUAUACUUAUUGACAUUUCUUGUUAUAUAAAUAAGGUAUUACUAACAAGUGCCCAUGGGCUUUGGCUUACAACGCAUUUAAUGGUUGUACGCUUCUUAACUACCCACUUCUACAAGGAAUGUACAACCAAUUUUAAAGCUAGUUAACCAUUGUUUGGGCUUUUUCCAUAUAAAUAAAAAUAUAUUUGCACUAUCCUUGAGAAUUUGUCCACUUUGAAGAUUUAAAAUCUUAUUUGGGAGUAAUUAUUUCGUGAUCUAAGACCAUCAUGUCAACUUUGAUUCCAAAUCAUACCACGUGGGAAAAAGUGGGGUUUGAGGUCUCACUUUUUCACUUUUUCGAAGAGGUGAGUCUCGAGAUCCCACUUUAUUAGGACUCAUCUCCUCGAGAAGGUGGAAAGAUGGGAUCUUAGGCCUCAUUUUUUUCAUGUGACCGAUCCUGAGUGUUCGGGACCAAAAUUGACGUGGUGGUUCUAGACCACUAAAUUUUUACCCUUUAUAAGAUGGCAUUGAAGGCUUUCAUUUGCAGUGUACUAUUCUUUUGCCAUAUAUUGUUGACUAUUUAGGAGGAGAAAUUUGUAAUUAAUAUUAUAAAAACGGUAUGGUGAGAAAUUCAAAUGAAAAAUACUCAUUUGCUAUUUCAAUGUGAUCAAUAAUUUUGGGACAUCCACAUAAGGAAAUUUGGACUACUUUCUGACAGAACAUGAGUUAGAAUCCAUAUUUUCAUUUUUAGAUGUUCUAAUAAAUUGUCUAUGUUGAAAGCGAGUGGUUAUUGCUCAGUUUUUUACUAUACUCUUUUGUUAUGCAAUAAGUUGCAACAUGACCACAAGUAGAAGAAGAAGAAGAAAAGGAAGAAAAAGAUCAGGGGGGGAAAAAAAAGGAAACAUCACAAUGUAGUAAAUAGAUGGUAAUGCAUUUAAUGCAUGUUUGUAAAUUAUUGUGCUUUUUCAAAAUUGAAUAAAAUGUUACUUUUGGAGGGAGCAAUGUUUUAGUUGUAACUUUUGAUUUUUGAACACAAGUACUUGUAUCUAGACUUCUAGACAUCUUGUAAUCUUGCACAACCACAGAUAUGCAUUUAAAGCAUGCAUAUGCAAGUGCAUCUAUUGAAAUCGGUGUUUGUAGUGCGUUUGAUCCUCUUUCUCUCUCCUUAUACCUCAUCCUCUUUCCCAUGUUUUCUCUUCUUGUUGCAUCGUCAUUUACAAGAAGAGGGUGCAUGGGACAAAGAGGGUGAUAAGUAUCCCAGUUGUUAUGGAGAGUGCUCUUGUGUUGAGUUGAAAAUACUCUAUAUAAUUCAAUCUGUAAAUUAGCGCUGUAGACCAUAUCCUUGGGGGAAUACAGCAUUAAGUGUUAAAUAGUGGUCACAUUUACUAAGUUACUUGAGUUAUAGUUUCUUCUGAAUAUUCAAUAUGCUAUUACUGGACUACCAGUAGGACUUUGUAUGUUUUAAGUCUUUUUGUGUUUGUAUAUAGUUAGCCCUCUAGUGUGGCCUACCUUUGAGAUGGAUUCAAACUCACAUUUUUACUCCAGUUACACUAUCUCACUUCUGAUAUGAUAAUCUUCAAAAAAUUAAUAUUUGCAUGUCUCUGCAUUUUACUAGCUUAUAAUGAGAAGAUUGAUUUCAACAUGCUAAUAACUGACUUAAAGGUGUGUUUUGUAUAAUAAAUUUUUAACUUUGUUGCUGGAACAUUUGUGUUGAAGAUGAAAAAGGCAGAAUUGGUCGAGACAUCUGCUUGUGUAACCAACUUGCCAAGGUCUAAUUGUGUCUCUCUGAUUCUUAUUUGAAUAUUCAAUGAAUCAUAUUCAGGUGUUGCUGCUAUUGCAUUGCAAAUGUGAAAUAGAAAUCCGUAUAGAGAGGUAUGUCAUGAGGAAGAUAAACUUUAGGGGAUGAUCUUGUUCAAAGCAUUAUUGUUUAUUAUUUGAUGUUCUCAUGGAGGGAAAUUAACAUCUUUCAAUUUGGAUAUAUUUUUUUGACUUGCAGAUAUUUUGGGAUGGUUGGUUGGCAUGUUGUACUUAUGCGAUGCUUCUGUUAGCUAAAAAGUUCUUAGUUGAGGUGUUUUCAGAAACUUACAUACUGCUUAGGACGGAGUUAUUCCUUGUAUUGUUAAUUUGUAGAUUUGGCAUGAUUUCAUUAUUUUGCAAGCUGAAGAUAGUUGAGGCAACCAUGAUCUCAUGGACUAUGCAUACCUGUGAUGUCCUCAAAAGUUCCUGAUAUUUUGGUUUUUGAUUUUGUUAUACUAUCUUAUGUUUGAAUGCUUGAUUCUUUAUGAAGUUACUACCGUCAGGAUCCUCUUUUCCAAAAGUUCUCUCAUUUUGUUCCAAAUUAUUCACAGUUACUGGAUCAUGCUAUAAACUCAUGGUAUGAGAACCUUGAGGCAUGAUCUAAUGUCUAUGAGUAAAUUGGGAUAGAGGGCUUUUGGGACUGGGGAUUCUCUGCUCAACUGACAUACACACUUAGUUGGAUGACAGGAAUUCUUGUAUAAAUUGGCUGUUGGAUGUGAGACAGCGUGUAGAAGAGUAAAAAGAUUAGGUGGCACAGGAGUAGAGGGGAGAGAGAAUAUGUAAUACAUGUUGAGUGGUUUGGACUGGGAGAAAUUUUGUAAGGAGGAUUGGCAUGAGCUUCUGCACACUUCUGGGCUCUUGAAGCAGGUGAUCCUGGACAGGCAGGCUAUGAUGGAGUCUUCAGAGAUAAAGUUGGCAGCUGGAUAUGUGGCUACUAUGCAAACUUCGGUAACGGCACUAGGCUUAUGGGUUGUUUACAGGGGUCUAACUAUCAUUUUGCAAAAAGGCUUAAACAAAGUGGAUUGAAUUUGAUUUUGAGAUGGUGAUCACCCUGGUCUGUGAACGAGCCAACUAGAAUUUCCCUUGCAGAGAUUUGGUGGAGGAUUCAAGAUUUCUUCUCGGAAGACACAAUUGCUCCAUUGCCCAUUUAAAAGGCAACACGUGUUGAUGCUAUGAUGAAUUUAGAGGUGGAUCAACCCAAACAUCUGGUUGUCCUGAAGAGACCUCCCGAGUCUAUUAGUGCUCGCACCUGCCAAACAUGCUAGGAGUUUCUUUUGUGAGGAAUUAUUCCCUCUUGUUCUUGUUUCUUUCUGAUUUCUUUUUCUAUUUUUGUAUCUAGAAAGAAAAUAGCAAAUGGUUUUGAGGAUUCAAUUGUCAAGGAGCAUUGUUCAAAAGUUGUAAAAGAAAAAGAAAGUUUUAUUUGAACAGGAUUAAUGGAAUGAGGAUAAGGAUUUUGCCUCUAUAUAAAUU